rnacentral:rRNA from 1 species
AGUCGGUGGGGUAACCUUUAUGGAGCCAGCCGCCUAAGGUGGGACAGAUGAUUGGGGUGAAGUCGUAACAAGGUAGCCGUAUCGGAAGGUGCGGCUGGAUCACCUCCUUUCUAUGGAGA